GUGCCAGCAGCCGCGGUAAUUCCAGCUCCAAUAGCGUAUAUUAAAGUUGUUGCAGUUAAAAAGCUCGUAGUUGAAACUUGGGCCUGGCUGGCGGGUCCGCCUCACCGCGUGCACUCGUCCGGCCGGGCCUUCCUUCUGAAGAACCUCAUGCCCUUCACUGGGCGUGCUGGGGAAUCAGGACUUUUACUUUGAAAAAAUUAGAGUGUUCAAAGCAGGCCUUUGCUCGAAUACGUUAGCAUGGAAUAAUAAAAUAGGGCGUGCGUUUCUAUUUUGUUGGUUUCUAGAGACGCCGCAAUGAUUAACAGGAACAGUCGGGGGCAUCAGUAUUCAGUUGUCAGAGGUGAAAUUCUUGGAUUUACUGAAGACUAACUACUGCGAAAGCAUUUGCCAAGGAUGUUUUCAUUAAUCAGUGAACGAAAGUUAGGGGAUCGAAGACGAUCAGAUACCGUCGUAGUCUUAACCGUAAACUAUGCCGACUAGGGAUCGGGCGAUGUUCUUUUUCUGACUCGCUCGGCACCUUACGAGAAAUCAAAGUUUUUGGGUUCUGGGGGGAUUAUGGUCGCAAGGCUGAAACUUAAAGAAAUUGACGGAAGGUCACCACCAGGCGUGGAGCCUGCGACUUAAUUUGACUCAACACGGGGAAACUCACCAGGUCCAGAUGAAAUAAGGAUUGACAGAUUGAGAGCUCUUUUCUUGAUUUUUCAGGUGGUGGUGCAUGGCCGUUCUAGUUCGUGGGGUGACUUGUCUGCUUAAUUGCGAUAACGAGCGAGACCUUACUCUGCUAAAUAGCCAGGCUAACUUU
rnacentral:rRNA from 1 species